CAAGUGCGUGGCCUACGCACUUGCAAGUGCGUUGUGUAUGUUGACUACAAUUGUCUGAAAUGAAUUUUGUUUAUGAUUAAGGCGCCGAGUACAAAGAACCCGAAUGUGAAGAGUAAACAAGUAGUUAAUGAGGAUCAAGUCGCCCCGACAUGUAAUCGUCCCACGAGGUCGAACUGCAAGAAGAAGGAGGAGGAAGCAAACCGUUCACUAAAAGUGGUGAUUUGGAAGCCUCAACGGGGGGUGCUCGCCACAUACCCUUCACGUGGGGUGGUCAUUAGGGAGCCUGGACAUAUUGUGCAAGAGCCUAAUAAUGAUGAUGAGACUGAGGAGAGGGGGGAGUUUGAGGAGGAAGAGGAGGCUAGUCUUUACUUCCAAGGGGGACCUCCUUAAAAGUUUUAAAGCUCAUGUUUCCAAUCAAAUAUGGAAGCAUUACAUUGCCUUAGAGGAGGAGCUUUGCCGGGAUUAGUUGAAAUUUUACUACCAUAGCUGACAUCUAUAGGGUCCGGCGGUGUUCUUCAGUGAUGGUGUUGAGCAGGUGGUUCAAAGGGCCUAGAGACUUUGCUGUACUACAAUUAUCCCCACGUGGAUGCUGCCAUGUUGAUUGCAUUCGUAGAGAGGUGGCAUCCUGAGACGUCGUCUUUUCAUAUACCAUUCAACGAGAUGACUACUACUCUUGAUGACGUCUCAUCCCUGCUGCAUACCCCUGUCACAGGGUCUUUCUUUACGCUUGUUAGACUCACCCUGGAGGGUGCAAUUGUUAAACUGGUUCAACAACUUGGUGUGUCGGAGCAAAAUCCAUUCGAGGAGGUUCAAAAGACCUAUAGACCCUUUGCUCGCUAUUCAUGGCUAGUGAAGGUUGCACAGGACAAGUCAAAAGGACUUUCUGGAUAAAGCUGCUAAGGCAUUUUUGUUGCGCUUGGUCGGGGAUGACCCUAUUUUGUGACAAGAGAAACAACAAAGUGGAUGUUUCUUACUUGCAGCUGUUCGAGAACCUUUUCAAUGUUGGCAAUUAUGCAUGGGGGGCAGCAGCACUAGCCUAUCUUUAUGACCACUUGAAGGAUGCUAGCAGGGACAACACCAAAGCUUGUUUAGGGUACAUGACUCUAUUUCAGGCCUGGAUCUUUGAGCACUUUCCCGCUCUGUGUUUGAUAGGCGGAUGAACCUCAAUUACAGUGAAGAUAUGCUGAGGUCUAUACGAUGGAUACCCCAACGGGGGAAUAGGGAACUCCAUGAGAAGAGGUGUGCUUUGGAUGACCUUACCACGAGCAUGGUGACAUGGACACCAUACACCCGACACAGACCAUCUAGGGAGUUUGCCCAGGCCAGCCUCUACACCGGGUUCAUCCGCCACAGCGGUAUGGUUCAGCCUCAUCUGCCAGAGAGAGUUUUGCGGCAAUUUGGCUGGAUUGAAGAUGUUCCUAAUUUGCCACCCGCAUAUGUAUCUUGUGAGGUUGUUGAUGAGAUGUAUGCAGAGUUUUAUAGCCAUCGCAUUCAGUAGGGGGGUCCCGCCACAUACCCUGGGCAUACAACUGAUGGUUACAUGUUGUGGUACCGUGCGGUCUCCCACCCCAUAAUAGUUCGUCUGGAUACGAGAGCCAAUAUUGCAGCGAAUUCCGGGACUAUUUUAGAGGACCUGAGGACAUUGAGCUUGGUAAAGGUGAACCCCGCAACCCCAGGAUAUGUUUAGGGAUCGUAAAUCUGUGAUACUAACCAUGAGAUGCGCCGAAUGAUAGAGCAGACUUUGUUUGGUGCUGAAGCUUCUGGUGGUAGUGGCGGAGGCGGAUGGGAAGAAGGAGAGGGAGCACGACAAGAACAACAAGAAAAGGCCAAGAAGAAAGAAAAGAGGAAGGAAUAUGGCUCUUGUUUGGUUUUGUGUUUGUGUUUGUGUUUAUGUAACAAAACAAUGAACCUUUAAUCUUUGCUUUUUAUGUUAUGAUUAUGGUUAUGUAAUGCACAAUUAUGUUAGGUGCCAUUAUGUUAAUGCAUUGGUUUAUGUAUGCUUUGGAUAUGUUUAUGUUUCUGUUUGUUUGGAGUUCCUAAUAUCUGAGA